rnacentral:rRNA from 1 species
AACGAACGCUGGCGGCAGGCCUAACACAUGCAAGUCGAACGCACCGCAAGGUGAGCGGCGCACGGGUGAGUAACACGUGGGAAUGUAUCCUUUGGUUCGGAAUAACGUCUGGAAACGGACGCUAAUACCGGAUGAGCCCUUAGGGGGAAAGAUUUAUCGCCGAAGGAGCAGCCCGCGUCUGAUUAGGUAGUUGGUGGGGUAAAGGCCUACCAAGCCGACGAUCAGUAGCUGGUCUGAGAGGAUAAUCAGCCACACUGGGACUGAGACACAGCCCAGACUCCUACGGGAGGCAGCAGUGGGGAAAAUUGGACAAUGGGCGCAAGCCUGAUCCAGCCAUGCCGCGUGAGUGAUGAAGGCCUUCGGGUUGUAAAGCUCUUUCGCACACGACGAUGAUGACGGUAGUGUGAGAGGAAGCCCCGGCUAACUUCGUGCCAGCAGCCGCCGUAAAAC